rnacentral:ncRNA from 1 species
UUUUCCGCAAAAUCUAUUUCCGUAGAGCGUAUGAUGUCGAUGGCCCGAGGUCGAGCACUCAAUGGGCUAGGGUGGCCCCAAUUUCGCUUUAUCAACCCCAGGGAAACUCCGAAUACAGGCCUAGAUCAUGUGGGUGCUAAGAUCCAAAGUCGAGAGGGAAACAGCCCAGAUCGUACGCUAAGGUCCCUAAGCAAUCACUUAGUCGAAAUGACACGUGUUUAAUUACAUUGCAUAAGAUGUUGAGUGUCAUAGUUUAUGACAUUUCCAAACCUUCGUGAGUAUUCCAAACUUCCAAAUUAUAAAAAGCAUCAAGUGAAAAACCAACCAUGAACUCCAGCAAGCAUAUUAUGAGACUAAAAGGAGGGCAUAGGACCUGGAUAGCCUCAGGGCUAGCAUAUGUUCUGGGGAAUCUCCAGUGGUC